rnacentral:rRNA from 1 species
AACGGCCAUACCAUGCUGAAUAUACCGGUUCUCGUUAGAUCACCGAAGUCAAGCAUUAUUGGGCGCGGUCAGUACUUGGGUAAGUGACCACCUGGUAACACCGCGUGCCGUU